rnacentral:rRNA from 1 species
GAUGAACGCUGGCGGCGUGCUUAACACAUGCAAGUCGAACGAAGCAUUUGCGACAGAUUUUUUCGGAAUGAAGUUGCUUAUGACUGAGUGGCGGACGGGUGAGUAACGCGUGGGUAACCUGCCUUGUACUGGGGGAUAGCAGCUGGAAACGGCUGGUAAUACCGCAUAAGCGCACAAUGUUGCAUGACAUGGUGUGAAAAACUCCGGUGGUAUAAGAUGGACCCGCGUCUGAUUAGCUAGUUGGUGAGAUAACAGCCCACCAAGGCGACGAUCAGUAGCCGACCUGAGAGGGUGACCGGCCACAUUGGGACUGAGACACGGCCCAGACUCCUACGGGAAGCAGCAGUGGGGAAUAUUGCACAAUGGAGGAAACUCUGAUGCAGCGACGCCGCGUGAGUGAAGAAGUAAUUCGUUAUGUAAAGCUCUAUCAGCAGGGAAGAUAGUGACGGUACCUGACUAAGAAGCUCCGGCUAAAUACGUG